UCAAAGUAUAAAUUUAUGAAUAUAUAUAUAUAUAUUUAAAUGUUUUGUUAAUGUUGAAACUGUGAACUAUUAUGGCAGUUGUCUGUUAUUUUACUGUUUGAUUCAUGGAAUAAGAAUGUUUUGUUUUGGAGGAAUUGUUAACUGUUUUAUUGUUUAAACUAUACGAUCACAUCUAAAAAAAAUGAAAUAAGAAAAAUAGAGAAUUCUGAGGAAUGCUGGUGGAGCUGUUGGGCCCCAAAGUCACUUUGUGAGAGAGUUUCAUUUUGUAUCGCACUAGGUGACAAACAACCAAACACGGAAGGCUACAUCUGCUCACCUCUGAAAAUCACCCAGAAUCAACUCAGGAGUUUUUGUAACCCCUGUUGUUGAGUGCAUCCAUGCUGCCCCCAUGAUUCAUUCUGAGAUUACAUUGUUUUAUGUUUUUUUUUAUUAUUAUUAAAAUCCCUUCCUUUAUUUAGAACCUUUCAAUUGCAUUCCUGUUAUUUUUAAAGCCCUGAAUGAUAAUCCCCUUUUUGGGAUCAUGCCAGCCUUCACCAAACUGCUUCCGAGGCUUUUUAAAAGCAUGAUGAUGAUAUUAACUUUUCCCAAACUGACUUUUUUUUCCAGAUUUCUUUGUGGAAUAAUUUGAUCUUUUUUCAAAAUUUAAUUCAAAGGAUAUAUUUACAGUGAUGGAGUCACUAUGAAAUCAAAUGAAUUGGUAUGGAAACGUCUAUCACCAGAGACCAAGAUGGAGGUUAUAAAUUAAUAGAUGUAUCUACAGGAUUUAUUAUCACUAUUUUUAUUAUUCCCUAAUUUUGUAAACAGUUUUAAGCAUACAGUAAAUAAAAAUCAAAUAGAAAAAUUCAUAAAACAGCAUAUGCUUGUGUGCAAAGUAAGCCUUUUAUUUAGACAUAACAAAUAAAGUAAUUAUUAUAUAAUUAGAUAGUAUAUAUUUUUUGUGACUAUUCUUUAAAAGUGUGUUCAAUAAAUUUCAAUUUCAAUGCUAAUAAACACAUGAUGCAUUUUUGUAAUUCAACUCAAAAAGGUUGACACAUUUAUACAUAUUUAUUACACAAAGUGGGAUAUUUUUAGUUAUUUCUGGUAUUUAUUAUGAUUAUGGAUUGAAGCUAAUAGAAAACCCAAAAUUUUGUGUUCAGUUUUACAUAAGACCAAUUUAAAUAGCACUUUCAAUGCAGUUGUGCAUUUUUGACCAUAGUAUGACCUGGAUAAUGGUCCAGAAUAUGGUGCAUUAUAUCCUCUAGCAGUGUAAGGUACAAAAGACUAUAAAAAUAUAUAUUACCUGUGAAUUACGUCGACCUAUCCAGAUCACUGGAAACAUCGAGACUAAUCUGAACAGCGCAAUAAACGUGACAACAGCCA